CGACGGCAGCAUGAUCUGCUGCUGAUUGAUGGCGAGUGGCGAACGGGUGAGUAAUACAUCGGAACGUGCCCUGUAGUGGGGGAUAACUAGUCGAAAGAUUAGCUAAUACCGCAUACGACCUGAGGGUGAAAGUGGGGGACCGCAAGGCCUCAUGCUAUAGGAGCGGCCGAUGUCUGAUUAGCUAGUUGGUGGGGUAAAGGCCCACCAAGGCGACGAUCAGUAGCUGGUCUGAGAGGACGAUCAGCCACACUGGGACUGAGACACGGCCCAGACUCCUACGGGAGGCAGCAGUGGGGAAUUUUGGACAAAGGGCGAAAGCCUGAUCCAGCAAUGCCGCGUGUGUGAAGAAGGCCUUCGGGUUGUAAAGCACUUUUGUCCGGAAAGAAAUGGCUCUGGUUAAUACCUGGGGUCGAUGACGGUACCGGAAGAAUAAGGACCGGCUAACUACGUGCCAGCAGCCGCGGUAAUACGUAGGGUCCAAGCGUUAAUCGGAAUUACUGGGCGUAAAGCGUGCGCAGGCGGUUGUGCAAGACCGAUGUGAAAUCCCCGAGCUUAACUUGGGAAUUGCAUUGGUGACUGCACGACUAGAGUGUGUCAGAGGGGGGUAGAAUUCCACGUGUAGCAGUGAAAUGCGUAGAGAUGUGGAGGAAUACCGAUGGCGAAGGCAGCCCCCUGGGAUAACACUGACGCUCAUGCACGAAAGCGUGGGGAGCAAACAGGAUUAGAUACCCUGGUAGUCCACGCCCUAAACGAUGUCAACUAGUUGUUGGGGAUUCAUUUCCUUAGUAACGUAGCUAACGCGUGAAGUUGACCGCCUGGGGAGUACGGUCGCAAGAUUAAAACUCAAA
rnacentral:rRNA from 1 species